AGUGGUAAGGAGCAUAGAGAUAAGAUAUUCAUGCUCAUGACCAAGACCUAGCAAGAUUUGGUGUAAAUCGGUAGGUGACUCCUUUGUAUUAAUGGUAGUCAAGUUAUUUAAUAUCUUAUUUGUCUCUUGUAAAUAAUCCUCUAAAGAGAGCACAAAAAUCCGUCAUAAAAAUAUUGUAAUAUGCUUCAAUCUGGAUGGUA
rnacentral:lncRNA from 1 species